CCUACGGGUCGCACCAUUGGGGAAUAUUGCACAAUGGGCGCAAGCCUGAUGCAGCCAUGCCGCGUGUAUGAAGAAGGCCUUCGGGUUGUAAAGUACUUUCAGCGGGGAGGAAGGCGAUAAGGUUAAUAACCUUGUCGAUUGACGUUACCCGCAGAAGAAGCACCGGCUAACUCCGUGCCAGCAGCCGCGGUAAUACGGAGAGUGCAAGCGUUAAUCGGAAUUACUGGGCGUAAAGCGCACGCAGGCGGUCUGUCAAGUCGGAUGUGAAAUCCCCGGGCUCAACCUGGGAACGGCAUUCGAAACUGGCAGGCUGGAGUCUUGUAGAGGGGGGUAGAAUUCCAGGUGUAGCGGUGAAAUGCGUAGAGAUCUGGAGGAAUACUGGUGGCGAAGGCGGCCCCCUGGACAAAGACUGACGCUCAGGUGCGAAAGCGUGGGGAGCAAACAGGAUUAGAUACCCCGGUAGUC
rnacentral:rRNA from 1 species